GUGUUCCUGAGGCUCAGUCAGUAGAGCAUUGUGCUAGCGACACAAUGGUCAUGGGUUCAAACCCCAGGGAAAGCA
rnacentral:tRNA from 1 species